GCCCCUAUAGCCAGUGGCUAGAGCGUUGGUCUCUUAAACCAAAGGUCGCAAGUUCGAAUCUUGUUGGCGGCC
rnacentral:tRNA from 1 species